CCUAGUAACGGCGAGUGAAGCGGCAACAGCUCAAAUUUGAAAGCUAGCCUUCGGGUUCGCAUUGUAAUUUGUAGAGGAUGAUUUGGGGAAGCCGCCUGUCUAAGUUCCUUGGAACAGGACGUCAUAGAGGGUGAGAAUCCCGUAUGUGACAGGAAAUGGCACCCUAUGUAAAUCUCCUUCGACGAGUCGAGUUGUUUGGGAAUGCAGCUCUAAAUGGGAGGUAAAUUUCUUCUAAAGCUAAAUAUUGGCGAGAGACCGAUAGCGCACAAGUAGAGUGAUCGAAAGAUGAAAAGCACUUUGGAAAGAGAGUUAAAAAGCACGUGAAAUUGUUGAAAGGGAAGCGCUUGCAAUCAGACUUGUUUAAACUGUUCGGCCGGUCUUCUGACCGGUUUACUCAGUUUGGACAGGCCAGCAUCAGUUUCGGCGGCCGGAUAAAGGCUCUGGGAAUGUGGCCUCCACUUCGGUGGAGGUGUUAUAGCCCAGGGUGUAAUACGGCCAGCCGGGACUGAGGUCCGCGCUCGGCUAGGAUGCUG
rnacentral:rRNA from 1 species